rnacentral:lncRNA from 1 species
CGUAAGGGUAGAAAAGGCCUCAGAUGCUUUAUCCUAAUCCUGAAAGAACAGCAAAUGGAGGUGCUGGGGAAAGUUCCCAUUGUCAAACACACAGCCCAGUGGAAUGACAAAGUCAACGUUAGAGAUGCAAGAUGAGAGACUCCCCAAAAUGAGGUAGAUACAGAGACUUCUGUCCUUUGAUUAAAGAGGCACUUAACCAGGUAAUCCUGCAAAUCUAUUUUUAUAAACUAGUAUCUGCUGUUUAAGCACAUUGCUGUGAAAUACAAGCUUUGACAUGAAACCGGUAAGCACAAUUAUCCCCAACCCAACGAGCUGGUGGAAAACCUAUCAAACGCACAGGAAGCAGCUGGAGCAAGAUGAAGAGGAGUGAUCGGAAGGCAGUCAAAUGGAGGAUAGAUGUGAAAAAGCUCAAAAAGUAGGAAAUGGAAGUUGUAAUUUUAGAAGAAAACAUGAGUAUGUUAUAUAAUAGCUAAACUUUGUCUGAAACAGACUUGAUCAUGUGGUGAAAGGGUUGGAGAACUACUGGGAUUAUAGAAAUUCAUUUGUGAGGGAACAGACGAUGUUUGUUAGAGAGGGAUACAUUGAGAAGUCCAGUCUGGGUCUGGGAAUUCAGAUCAGGGGUAGUUUCAUCCCAGAGAGACAAGUGUAAGAAGCUGCUCUCCGAACACUUAUUUCUCACUCGUGAGCAAUUGCUAUGAGUAGAAAUGAGCGUUUUACCCUCAUGGUAAAAAUAACUGUUGCUCCAAACAGAGGACCUUCUUUCAGUAGUCAUCUACUGAUGUUUUGCACAACUGACACUGUGAACAAGAGUGCCUGGCUUGCCAGAAGCCCGGAGCAGGACCACUGCACAGAGAGCCAAGACAAAAGAAGCUUCAGGAGAGCUGGGGUCCGUGCGACUGCUGCUCCUCUGUGGGAAAGAUGCUGCAUUUUCGGGUGGCACAAAACAAUUGCCACAAGCAGCUGUGGGGGUCCUUGGAUGGGUGAGGUUAUCCCAAAGGACGCAUGGGAAAUAGGCAGCAUCUCCUCCAAACCCAGAACAGAGAGCCCUAAGCUGGCUGCUUUGCCCAAGAAAACCUCAGACGAGCACCAGCCACAGCAGGCUGGGACAGCUGAGCCCCAGGGCAUGGCACAGCCAGAACCAGUGGCCUUCUGGUGCUUUGUGACACUGGUGCUGAUGUCUCACUGGAGACACCCUAAACAAGAGCUCGGUGUAUGUUCAAGCUACACAUGCACACACGCUUUGCUCUCUCCUGUCUGGAUGAGCCUUCUGCGUGGCACAUUGGCCACUAACAGAGGUCAUCCCUUAUAUCAGUCUGGAAAAUCCUCAGAGACGUGCUGUAGAAAAGCUGAGAUGCAAUCCAUCGGCUACAGCUCUUAAG